UCCUCACGAUGGUCGCAACUCCCACCCGUCUGAUCAUGAUCAUAAUCGUGGAACAUCUUUUCAUCCCGAUGAUGAUCAGAAGGGCUCCUCAUCAUCACUUUACCAUUAAAGCUGUUGUUGUUGGUAAAUGUCGUCGACGAAGAUGUUAAUAAAUGAUGAUCAGAGUAGUGAGUGGAAGACGAAGAAGAACAAGUUGCGGUAGUUGAGGAAAAGGGGAACAACAUCUGGAACUUCUCCAUGGGAGAAAGUGGAAGGUUUGGUUUUAUGGAGAAGAUUAUGAGAAUUAGAUGAGAGUAGAAAAUCCAAAUGGUUAAU
rnacentral:lncRNA from 1 species